GAUGAACGCUGGCGGCGUGCUUAACACAUGCAAGUCGAGCGAUGAAGUUUCCUUCGGGGAACGGAUUAGCGGCGGACGGGUGAGUAUCACGUGGGUGACCUGCCCUGAAGUGGGGGAUAACUAUCCGAAAGGAUGGCUAAUACCGCAUAUGAUUCGGCAUUCGGUUGUCGAAUCAAAGGAGCAAUCCGCUUCUGGAGGGGCCCGCGGCCCAUCAGCUAGUUGGUAGGUAAAGGCCUACCAAGGCUAUGACGGGUAGCUGGUCUGAGAGGACGAUCAGCCACAUUGGCACUGAGACACGGGCCAAACUCCUACGGGAGGCUG
rnacentral:rRNA from 1 species